rnacentral:rRNA from 1 species
GUGAGGAAUAUUGGUCAAUGGACGAGAGUCUGAACCAGCCAAGUCGCGUGAAGGAAGACGGUUCUAUGAAUUGUAAACUUCUUUUGUGCAGGAAUAAAGUGGGUUACGUGUAACCUUUUGUAUGUACUGUACGAAUAAGGAUCGGCUAACUCCGUGCCAGCAGCCGCGGUAAUACGGAGGAUCCGAGCGUUCUCCGGAUUUAUUGGGUUUAAAGGGUGCGUAGGUGGAUUGAUAAGUCAGCGGUGAAAGUUUGCAGCUUAACUGUAAAAUUGCCGUUGAAACUGUCGGUCUUGAGUGCAAAUGAGGUAGGCGGAAUGUGUUGUGUAGCGGUGAAAUGCUUAGAUAUAACACAGAACUCCGAUUGCGAAGGCAGCUUACUGGGAUGCAACUGACACUGAUGCACGAAAGCGUGGGUAUCAAACAGGAUUAGAUACCCGAGUAGUCC